UGUUAAGCUGAUGGGGCCAAACUCAAGAUUAAGAGGCAAUUCCGUAACGGUCUCAUUGAGUGCUAUCAAUUUAUCCCUCAAAAGCCAAAACUCGUUGAAGUACACUGUAGGAUAGUAGUUCCCCGUAAUGGGAUCGAUGUUCAAGUAGCCGGCGAUAUUUGGAGGAAUGGCAUUAUGAGGGUAUAGUGUGAAAUCAUCAACAAGAUUGAUUGUGAUGUUUGGUUUCCAAUAUGACACCCAUUCAACAGGGACCUCGUCCUUGGCUUCAACCAGAACACUGUCAUUCAUCUCAGGCACAAGCUCUCCCUCUUCUGAUCCCAGCAAGCUCCUCCUUUUGCCUGCUUUCGACUUGGGCGAGUAUAUCACAAUAGGAUGUGUCCUCCCAAAUGCAAAUCCAGGCUUAUACUCAGGAUCACUAGGAUCUGGAGAAUACCCUGAGCGGGCUAAGAACACAUGAGCAUACAAACUUCCAUUGUUUCUUACAGACUCUGAUGGGAUAUAUUUUAGAGAAUAAGAUCUACUACUUGAUGGUCCCCAAACAGCAUAAGGAACAUUUGCCUCAUGCCAAAUAAGUGCAUCCUCAUUACCAAAAUCAUAGAACUUUUCACUUUCCGAAAGGUAGAGCCACAUGUCCAGAGGCUCUCCCUUCUGGAAGAGAUUCGAGAUCUGGACACCAGGCUCAGAGG
rnacentral:misc_RNA from 1 species